GAGAGAGGUCAGACGAGUCAGGAAUAAGAGGUGUUCAGAUUAGGAUAACGUAGCGUAUACUGCGACGACACGUGCUACAUCCCAAAAUAUAAGAAAAUGUAAGUUUGAAUUUGGAAUUUUGGAUAUCAUUAAUUAAUUAAAAAUCAUAUAAUACAAAUUAAAUUUUUCUUUUUAGAUUUUGACUUUGGAGUUUGGAUGUAAAUGUAAUUAAUUAAUUAUAAAUCAUAUAAUACAAAAAAACUUUCCUUUUGGAAUAGACUUGUGCGGCAGUGCCCGGUAAGGUAGCAGACUAUCUGGCCAACUGACGGACUCGAUUUGGAGCAGAUCUGGGGACGAAUCUCCGGUAUUUUCCUAGAAUUACCGUGGUGAGGCGGGUCAAAUGGAAGAAUUCCGGGAAAGUUUCGUCCUGUUAGGUAAAACACGACCUUGAUCGGUCUUGUCAGAACUCAGACCGGUGCGGCGGUGCCCGGUAAGGUAGCAGACUAUCUGGCCAACUGACGGACUCGAUUUGGAGCAGAUCUGGGGACGAAUCUCCGCGGUAUUUAGUAGCUUUCUGGAAUCACCGUGGAGAGGCGCGUCAAAUGGAAGAAUUCCGGCGAAAUUUCGUCUUCUUAGAUGAAACACGACCUUGAUCGGUCUUGUCAGAAGUCAGAACUCAGAAGUAGUAACACUUUGGCGAGUGGUUUAGCCGUGAAAAGGGCCGACUCGAAUGUGAAAUGAACCAGUCUGCGCCUAACAGUCAUGGCCCGUUAAUCUAACAACUUUAAAUUUAAAUCUAGCUAACUAGUCAAAAAUCAAAAUUAGUGGGGUAGUUUUAAAAAUUAGCCCAAAUAAUUAAUAUUAAAUUGUUACCUUGUUGAAAUUUUCUGCAUUCUUCUUUCCUCCGUAUCACAAUUCGCGUCCACUUCUUCGUGACGUAAGACAUAAUUGGACCAAUCUACGCCUCACAGUUGGCACCCGAUUGAUCAAACUCGCAUGUUUUGGGUACGAAUAUAUAUAUCGUCAAAAAUCAAAAUUAGUGAUGUAGUUUUAAAAAUUAGCCCAAAUAAUUAAUAUUAAAUUGUUACCUUGUUGAGAUUCUCUGCAUUCUACUUUCCUCCAUAUCACGAUUCGCGUCCACUUCUUCGUGACGUCAGACACAAUUGGACCAAUCAACGCCUCACAGUUGGCACCCGAUUGAUCAAACUCGCAUGUUUUGGGUACGAAUAUAUAUAUCGUCACAAAAAGAAAAAUUUCGAACCAAACCGAGAAAGAAGUACGAUAGGAGGGGACGACACGACAGAGUGUCGGUUUCCAAGAACAAGAUGCAGAUCGGAAGAAAUAUUAUAUUCAAUAACAAAUUUCAACAUACACAGUAACACAGAUUUCAAUUCAAAGCAAAUAACAGAUGGAUCGAUGAUCCGACACCAAACGAUCGACGGAGCGAGGGAGGGGGGAAUUAAAGAAGACUGUAAUUAAU
rnacentral:lncRNA from 1 species